rnacentral:rRNA from 1 species
GACGAACGCUGGCGGCGUGCUUAACACAUGCAAGUCGAACGAUGAAGCCGGAGCUUGCUCUGGUGAAUUAGUGGCGAACGGGUGAGUAACACGUGAGUAACCUGCCCUUGACUCUGGGAUAACUGCGGGAAACUGUAGCUAAUACCGGAUGCGACCCUCGGAGGCAUCUCCUGGGGGUGGAAAGAAUUUCGGUCAAGGAUGGACUCGCGGCCUAUCAGCUAGUUGGUGAGGUAAAGGCUCACCAAGGCGACGACGGGUAGCCGGCCUGUGAGGGUGACCGGCCACACGGGGACUGAGACACGGCCCAGACUCCUACGGGAGGCAGCAGUGGGGAAUAUUGCACAAUGGGCGCAAGCCUGAUGCAGCAACGCCGCGUGAGGGAUGACGGCCUUCGGGUUGUAAACCUCUUUUAGCAGGGAAGAAGCGAAAGUGACGGUACCUGCAGAAAAAGCACCGGCUAACUACGUGCCAGCCGCCGCAGUAA